UUCCAGCUGACGAGUCCCAAAUAGAAGGAAACGCACGUCUUGGAU
rfam:Schistosoma mattheei strain Denwood, Zambia genome assembly, scaffold: SMTD_scaffold0000442